rnacentral:rRNA from 1 species
AUAUUGGACAAUGGGGGGAACCCUGAUCCAGCCAUGCCGCGUGUGUGAAGAAGGCCUUAUGGUUGUAAAGCACUAUAAGCGAGGAGGAGGCUCUGUGGGUUAAUACCCAAGAGGAGUGGACGGUACUCGCAGAAUAAGCACCGGCUAACUCUGUGCCAGCAGCCGCGGUAAUACAGAGGGUGCAAGCGUUAAUCGGAUUUACUGGGCGUAAAGCGUGCGUAGGCGGCUUUUUAAGUCGGAUGUGAAAUCCCUGAGCUUAACUUAGGAAUUGCAUUCGAUACUGGGAAGCUAGAGUAUGGGAGAGGAUGGUAGAAUUCCAGGUGUAGCGGUGAAAUGCGUAGAGAUCUGGAGGAAUACCGAUGGCGAAGGCAGCCAUCUGGCCUAAUACUGACGCUGAGGUACGAAAGCAUGGGGAGCAAAC